rnacentral:rRNA from 1 species
AGUGAACGCUGGCGGCAUGCCUAACACAUGCCAGUCGAACGGCAGCACAGUAAGCGCUUGCUCUUACGGGUGGCGAGUGGCGGACGGGUGCGGAAUACAUCUGAAGCUACAUUUCCGUGGACGAUAACGAAGGGCAACUUACGCUAAUACCGCAUACCAGGUAUGGGUGACAGCAAUGGCUCUUCGGACCUUGCGCGAUUGAAUGAGCCGAUGUCGGAUUCGCUAGUUGGCGGGGUAAGGGCCCACCAAGGCGGCGAUCCGUAGCUGGUAUGAGAGGAUGAUCCGCCACACUGGAACUGAGACACGGCACAGACUCCUACAGGAGGCAGCAGUGGAGAAUAUUGGAGAAUGGGCGAGAGCGUGAUACAGGAAUACCGCGUGAGUGAAGAAGGAGUUCGGGUUGUAAAGCGCUGUUGGUGGGAAAGAAAAGAAGCCGGUUAAGCCGGGGCUGUUCUGACGGUACCCAAAGAAGAAGCCCCGGCUAACUUCGUG